rnacentral:sRNA from 2 species
GGGAAGUGCACCUAGGGUUCCGCUGUUCAGCUGUCUGCUGACCUGGUCUGGUCCGAGUGGUGCAGGUAUGCACUUUUGGUGUAUACUACACCGGAAGGAUAAAAGCCUGGACGGG